UACGAAGGGGGCUAGCGUUGUUCGGAUUUACUGGGCGUAAAGCGCACGUAGGCGGAUUGGGCAGUUAGGGGUGAAAUCCUGGAGCUCAACUCCAGAACUGCCUUUAAUACUGCCAGUCUCGAGUCCGGAAGAGGUAAGUGGAACUCCUAGUGUAGAGGUGGAAUUCGUAGAUAUUUGGAAGAACACCAGUGGCGAAGGCGGCUUACUGGUCCGGUACUGACGCUGAGGUGCGAAAGCGUGGGGAGCAAACAGG
rnacentral:rRNA from 1 species